UGCCCGAUAGUAUAAUGGUAGUACUGCAGAUUCUGAUUCUGCCUGUCUUGGUUCGAAUCCAGGUCGGGUAA
rnacentral:tRNA from 1 species